rnacentral:tRNA from 1 species
GCCAUCGUGGUGCAAUGGUCAGCACGCUCGGCUCGUAUUCGAGAAGUCCAGGUUCGAAUCCUAGCGAGGGCA